CGGUCUCCCACAGGGCGGCCUGAGGAGGCCGCUCCUGCCUCCCGCUGACCAUAGAGCUGCGGCUCCCGCCGGCGCCGGCCCUAAGUUGGUCUAGUAGUGUCCCGAGGAAAUGCAGCAACAAUAUGGGAAGUUAUGACUGAUACUGUAUUGGACCCACAACAAGGGAACAGCAGUAAGGAAAUGGAUGGGCUGUGCCCUCAGAUGUUACUACUACCUCUACCCCUCUCAGACCGUGGUGUCCCAGGGCCGGUUCAGAGCCCUUCCUAUUCUGACACCCUCCCACCUCUGCCUACCAACUCAAACUGCCUGCUUGUGGAAGCCACGGCAGCAGAGGGCAAUACAGGAAGCAUGGAAAUCUUCGUAGAAGCUGUCACUGGAGACUUGUCCCAGAGUGCCCCCGGAGAGACCCCAGGUGUUCUGGUGAAGGUGAUGAAGCUGUACUUUUGUGAAGGUUGUGAGCAGAGCUUUCCUGAGCCCACCCUGCUGACCCUGCACCAUUGUCCCAAGACCAUAUUGCAAUCCAAGGGCAGCGUCUCUAGCCCCCACCAGUCUUCAGAACUGAACCCUGGGGAUUCCAUCCUCCCCAACCGCCCACAGGGGCACAGCCCACCAGCAACUGAACGGUCCUCUGUUGAAGGGAAACUUUCCAAAGGAGCUGGUAGCUCCCUGCCUGGCGGGAAACCAGUGGAAGAGGAGGAGGAGAAAGAGGAAAAUGGAAAGGACCUUCUGUCUCCUGAGGAGAAGGAAGAGAAGAAAAAAGAAGAAGAUGAGAGUGAAGCCAAGGGUGGGAGCAGCAAGAAAGUCCAAAAGACACGAAAAGGGACCCGGCAAUUCAAAGGAGACGUGGCUGCUGGCUCUGAAUCCUUGUUCAAGACCCACAUGUGUCCAGAAUGCAAACGUUGCUUCAAGAAGCGGACCCACCUGGUGGAGCAUCUCCACCUGCACUUCCCAGAUCCCAGCCUCCAGUGCCCCAACUGCCAGAAGUUCUUCACCAGUAAGAGCAAGCUCAAAAUUCACUUGCUUCGGGAGCUGGGUGAGAAGGCCCACCGCUGCCCCCUGUGCCACUACCGGGCCGUGGAGAAGAAUGCUCUGAACCGACACAUGGCGAGUAUGCAUGAGGACAUCUCCAAUUUCUACUCAGAUGUCUACACGUGCCCUGUGUGCCGCGAGGAGUUCCGCCUCAGCCAGGCUCUCAAGGAACACCUGAAGAGCCACGCCGCUGAGCCCACGCACCUCCACUGCUUCCAGGAGGGCUGCAGCCAUGCUGCCCCUGACCGGAAGGCCUUUAUCCGGCACCUCCGGGAGGCCCACGGGGUGCGAGCGGUGGAGUGCCAGCACCACGCCUGCCCCAUGCUCUUCGCCACGGCCGAAGCGAUGGAGGCCCACCGCAAGAGCCACUAUGCGUUCCACUGCCCACACUGUGACUUUGCCUGCUCCAACAAGCACCUGUUCCGCAAGCAUAAGAAGCAGGGGCACCCCGGCAGUGAGGAACUACGCUGUGCAUUUUGUCCCUUCGCCACCUUCAACCCUGUGGCCUACCAAGACCACGUGGGCAAGAUGCAUGCCCACGAGAAGAUCCACCAGUGUCCCGAGUGCAGUUUUGCUACUGCCCACAAGAGGGUGCUCAUCCGCCACACGCUGCUCCACACUGGAGAGAAACCCCACAAGUGUGAGCUGUGUGACUUCACCUGCCGAGAUGUGAGCUACCUGUCCAAACACAUGCUGACCCACUCAAACACCAAGGAUUAUAUGUGCGCUGAAUGUGGCUAUGUCACCAAGUGGAAACACUACCUCAGCGUGCACAUGCGUAAGCACGCCGGCGACCUCAGGUACCAGUGCAACCAGUGUUCCUAUCGCUGCCACCGCGCUGACCAGCUGAGCAGUCAUAAGUUGCGCCACCAGGGCAAGUCCCUAAUGUGUGAAGUGUGUGCAUUUGCUUGCAAACGCAAAUAUGAGCUGCAGAAACACAUGGCCUCCCAGCACCGCCCGGGAGCUCCAGCCCCCCUGUACCCCUGUCGAUACUGCAGCUACCAGAGCCGCCACAAACAGGCCCUGCUGAGCCACGAAAACUGCAAACACACGCGCUUACGAGAAUUCUGCUGUGCCCUCUGUGACUACCGUACUUUCAGCAACACCACUCUUUUCUUCCACAAGCGGAAGGCCCAUGGCUAUGUGCCAGGGGACCAGACCUGGCCCCACGGACAUGCUAGCCAAGAGCAGGAGGGCACCAAGCGGUGCCCAGCUCCUCUGCCAGGCCCAGAGGUCUCAAGCCAGUCCUCCACCCAGGAGGAGGGACAGUGCCCACAGCCUGUGGGGUCGGUUGAAUCCAGCUUUAACCAGGCAUUGUCAGAGAUUUGCGUGGAGAAGGGAGAAGGAAAAGGAGGAGAGAGUAGUGCCCCCCCUGGGGGUAACUUGGUAGGGCAGUCUCCCAGUCCGGCAGAGGCGGAUGAGGAUGGCUGUACCCUGCACCUGGAGGCACUGCGUGUUGAGUUGGAGACUGCUGCUGGGCUUCCCCCCACUGAAAUGACAGAGACCUCCCCUAUGGAAUAUGGGCAUCUGGGCACCUCAGAAGCCUUGGGACCAGAGGAGCCAGAUGGCACGUCGGAGGCUCUGCCUGACUUUGAGGAAGAGCCAGAGCUCCAGAAUGGCGGUCAGUCCGACGUAGGGGCUAUGGGGGAACCCGUGCUAGAGAAGUGCGCCCCUGAGUCCCCUGGAAACCCCUUAUCCUCAGAUGACCCCCCUGAUAAUGUAAAGGGACCCUUUAAGCCACCUCCAUCACCUAGGGCACCAGCCCCGUCCCAGCUCCCGCAGUCAGAGUCGGUGCUCAAAGCACUAAGAAGACAGGACAAAGAACAGGCAGAGACCCUGGUGCUGGAGGGGAGGGUGCAGAUGCUGGUGGUACAGGGGAAAGGACAGGCCUUCCGCUGUCCACACUGCCCUUUUGUCACCCGCCGUGAGAAGGCGCUAGGACUGCACACCAGGACUGGGUGCCAGGGCCGCCGGGAGCCCCUCCUUUGUUCAGAAUGUGGGGCCAGCUUCAAGCAACAGCGUGGGCUUACCACCCACCUCCUCAAGAAAUGCCCCGUCCUGCUCAAAAAGAAUAAGCCUUCGCUCAAACCCGACUCUCCUGCCCUUCUGGACCCUCAGCCUAUUGUUACUGUUGCCUUGGAAAACAUAAGUGAGGAGAUGCCCCACCCUGCAACCUGGGAAGUUAAGCUGGUGCCUGCUGAAGAUCCCCCCGCUGAGCCUCCCCUGUCACCCAAAGAAGGCGAUGAGACCCCUGGCCCUCCCUCUGACUCACUAGCCCCAACAGAAGAACAUCCCACACCCGCGGCAUCCCCUGAGAAAUUCCGCUUUGAGCAGGGGAAGUUCCACUGCCGUGCCUGCCCAUUCCUUUGUUCCCGUCUCUCAUCCAUUACUUCCCACGUGACCGAGGGCUGCCGAGGGCAGAGCUGGGGCAGCAAACGUGGGAGCGGCACCUGUCAAACCGAGCCAGGCCCAAGCAGCGGGGAAAAGAGUGUGCCGAGAAGUAACCAGGAUGAGCCGGGCCUGGCCGGGGAGGAUCAUGCCCAGGGGCCCCAGAAGGGCGCCCGGUUCUCCUGCCCCACCUGCCCUUUCAGCUGCAGGCAGGAGCGAGCUCUAAGGACGCACCAGUCCCGGGGCUGCCCCAGUGCUGAGCCCCAAGAGCUGCGCUGCAGCCUCUGCCCCUUCACCGCCCGAGCUCCAGCCGCUCUGCGGCUCCACCAGAAGCGGCGACACCGGGCAGCCCUUGCGCCUUCCCCCACCCCGCCGGCCACCCGUGGUCCCCGCCCCCUGUUGCGGUGCCAGGAUUGCAGCUUCACGUGCAAGCAGAGCCGGUGCCUGCAGCAGCAUCGGCGGCUGAAGCACGAAGGGGUGAAGCCCCACCAGUGCCCCUUCUGCGAGUUCUCCACCACGCGGCGCUACCGCCUGGAAGCGCACCAGUCUCGGCACACGGGAGUGGGCCGCAUACCGUGUGGGUCCUGCCCCCAGACUUUCGGUACCAACUCCAAGCUGCGCCUGCACAGGCUGAGGGUCCACGACAAGACGCCCACCCAUUUUUGCCCGCUCUGCGACUACAGCGGCUACUUGCAGCAUGACAUCACGCGACACGUUAACAGCUGCCACCAGGGCACGCCGGCCUUUGCCUGUCCCCAGUGUGAAGCCCACUUCAGUUCAGAGACCGCACUGAAGCAGCACGCACUGAGGCGACACCCGGACCCUGGGCCUCCGGCUCUGGGCUCGCCCACUGAGGUGUCCGGAGGCCCUCUCCACUGCCCUCACUGUGGCCUCUCUUGCCCCAGCCCCGCCGGCCUGCGAUGCCACACCCGCAAACAGCACCCCCGGCUGGAGUGCGGCACGUGCCAUGAGGCCUUCUCCAGCCGGGGAGCCCUGGAAGAGCACCGGAGACAGCGGCACUUCAGCCAUCGGUGCCACCUGUGCAGCUUUGCGGCGCGGGAGCGGGCCGGGCUCGUGCGGCACUACCUGGAGCGGCACGAGAAGGCGGCCACGGGGGAUGGCGGGGCCGGGGGGCCCCCCUUGCGCUGCCCCUUCUGUGACUUCGGUUGCCGACACCAGCUGGUGCUCGAUCACCACGUGAAGGGGCAUGGGGGAACACGGUUGUACAAGUGCACCGACUGUGCGUACAGUACCAAGAACAGGCAGAAGAUCACUUGGCACAGCCGAAUCCACACUGGGGAGAAGCCGUACCGCUGUCAUCUCUGCCCGUAUGCUUGUGCUGACCCCUCCCGCCUCAAGUACCACAUGCGAAUCCACAAAGAGGAGCGUAAAUAUUUGUGUCCCGAGUGUGGCUACAAAUGCAAGUGGGUAAACCAGCUCAAAUAUCACAUGACUAAGCACACAGGACUGAAGCCGUACCAGUGUCCUGAGUGUGAGUAUUGUACAAACCGAGCAGAUGCGCUCCGUGUGCACCAGGAGACUCGGCAUCAGGAGGCCCGGGCCUUCAUGUGUGAGCAGUGUGGCAAGGCCUUCAAGACGAGGUUUCUGCUACGCACCCACCUUCGGAAGCACAGUGAGGACAAGCCAUACGUGUGCAACGUGUGCCACCGAGCUUUCCGCUGGGCUGCUGGCCUACGCCACCAUGCCCUCACCCACACUGACCGCCACCCUUUCUUCUGCCGCCUCUGCAGCUACAAAGCCAAGCAGAAGUUUCAGGUGGUCAAGCAUGUCAGGAGGCACCAUCCUGACCAGACUGACCCCAGCCAGAGUGUGGGCAAAGACCCUACCACCCCAACAGUGCAUCUUCAUGACGUGCAACUUGAGGAUCCUGUUCCCCUAGCUCCUGCUGCACCUGAAGGCUGAGCCAGGCUUCUAAGAAGUCAUGCAUCAGGAGACAAGGGCCUGGACCCGAACCAGAUACUGGAAUCCCCAGCCCUGAGACACACCCAGAAGCUGACCAGCAGCUUUCAGGAGCUGGAGUUGGGGAAAGAGGGCUCUGGAGGUAAUGGCCCAUCCAGGGCCUUCCUCCAUGAUCCAGGAGCCUUAGGUGAGAUCCGGCUUCAGGCCUUUUGCGUCUUUCUUUCCUUCUUCCUUCCCUUCCGUGCCAUCCACCCCACCAGGGUGCUUUCCCACUUUUUGCCCAGCACCUUGUUCCCUUUGCCUUCUCUCCCCACCUCCCAACAAAGCUGGGCCCUGCCCUUCUUCACUUCUGAGCCCCCUUUCUACCUUUUCCUACUCUCCCUACUCCAAAACAAGGACCAGUCACAGUCUAGACUGAGUCAGUGGGAGGAGUUGUAUUUUGUACAGGCAGGCCUAGGGAGAAGGCCAGCAGGAGAUCUAAGAGAGGCAUCGAGGUUCCUCUUCAGAGGUCAGAUACAGUGCUGUCCAGGGUGCAGGGACCUGGUUGUCCCACAGCCUCUGCCCUAGGGGCCCUGACUUCUUCUUUUCCUUAGCAUACUUGUUGUGGCAAAGGAUGCAGGACCCACUUCUGGGUUCCUCAGCCCCAGGCUUCUCUUCAUCUCUGGGCUGCAGCAGCCUUUGGCCCAGGGUCAGGGUGAGAAUCCUAGAGCUGGACCAGGGAGAAGACUACAACAAAAGGAGCAGCUUCCAGGCAGAGCAAGAGGACAGGGAUUCUGGUGGCAUGACAGAAGCCAGGAAAGACACAAAUGGCCCAAGGAAGCUGAGACCUGAGAGGAGAGGGGGAGUGAUGAGGUGGGCAAGGCCCAGGGAGGAAAGGAGAAACUCCAUCUAAUCUGGGAGCCUGUUUUUACUCCUAGGAGUACCCCACCUAGCCUUCCCUGAUACCUGGUAAGAAACGAAAGAACCACCCACCUAAACUGCUGCUGAUGCUUCUCGCUCAGUCUCCAUCCUCAUCCAGCUCUUCCCGGAUCUGGAUGUGCACAAAAAUGGAAG